UACAGAGGGGGCAAGCGUUAUUCGGAAUUAUUGGGCGUAAAGGGCGCGUAGGCGGCCUGGCAAGUGGAAGGUGAAAUCCCUCGGCUUAACCCGAGGAACUGCCCUCCAAACUGCUUGGCUUGAGUCCGGGAGAGGUGAGUGGAAGUUCCCAGUGUAGCGGUGAAAUGACGUAGAUAUCGGGAGGAACACCUGUGGCGAAAGCGGCUCACUGGACCAUUACUGACGCUGAUGCUCGAAAGCUAGGGGAGCAAACAGG
rnacentral:rRNA from 1 species